AUUUUAAUCACCAGGGGAUCUUGUUAAAAGACAGACUCUGAUUAAGCAGAUCUGGAAUGAGACCUGAGAUUCUGCAUUUAUAAUAAGCUCCCAGAUGAUGGCCAU
rnacentral:pre_miRNA from 1 species